rnacentral:rRNA from 1 species
UUAGAGUUUGAUCCUGGCUCAGGAUGAACUUUGGCGGCAGGCUUAAUACAUGCAAGUUGAACGGUAACAUGUUGUAGCAAUACGAUGAUGACGAGUGGCGCACGGGUGCGUAACACGUGUGUAACCUACCUUAUACAGGAACAUAACGUUGAGAAAUCGGCGCUAACAUUCCAUAAUAUUAUUUGUAGGCAUCUAUGAAUAAUUAAAACUCCGGUGGUAUAAGAUGGGCACGCUUUCCAUUAGCUAGUUGGUAAGGUAACGGCUUACCAAGGCAACGAUGGAUAGGGGUUCUGAGAGGAUAAUCCCCCACACUGGAACUGAGACACGGUCCAGACUCCUACGGGAGGCAGCAGUAAGGAAUAUUGGGCAAUGGAGGCAACUCUGAUCCAGCCAUGCCGCGUGCAGGAAGACGGCCUUAUGGGUUGUAAACUGCUUUUAUACGGGAGCAAUAAGGGUUACGAGUAAUCCGAUGAGAGUACUGUAUGAAUAAGGAUCGGCUAACUCCGUGCCAGCAGCCGCGGUAAUACGGAGGAUCCGAGCGUUAUCCGGAAUUAUUGGGUUUAAAGGGUGCGUAGGCGGCCAUUUAAGUCAGCGGUGAAAUUUUGCAGCUUAACUGUAACAGUGCCGUUGAUACUGUUUGGCUAGGAUUUGGUUGUAGUGUGCGGAAUGUGUGGUGUAGCGGUGAAAUGCUUAGAUAUCACACAGAACACCGAUUGCGAAGGCAGCACACUAAGUCAUUAUUGACGCUGAGGCACGAAAGUGUGGGGAUCAAACAGGAUUAGAUACCCUGGUAGUCCACACUGUAAACGAUGAUAACUCGCUGUCGGCGAUACACAGUCGGUGGCCAAGCGAAAGCAUUAAGUUAUCCACCUGGGGAGUACGACCGCAAGGUUGAAACUCAAAGGAAUUGACGGGGGCCCGCACAAGCGGAGGAACAUGUGGUUUAAUUCGAUGAUACGCGAGGAACCUUACCCGGGCUCGAACAGUGCAUGAAUAUACGAGAGAUUGUAUAGUCCUUCGGGGCAUGUAUCGAGGUGCUGCAUGGUUGUCGUCAGCUCGUGCCGUGAGGUGUCGGCUUAAGUGCCAUAACGAGCGCAACCCUUGUCAUUAGUUGCCAUCAGGUCAAGCUGGGGACUUUAAUGAGACUGCCACCGUAAGGUGUGAGGAAGGGGGGGAUGACGUCAAAUCAGCACGGCCCUUAUGUCCGGGGCGACACACGUGUUACAAUGGGAGGUACAGAGGGCAGCUAUCCGGUGACGGAAUGCUAAUCUCCAAAACCUUUCUCAGUUCGGAUUGGAGUCUGCAACUCGACUCCAUGAAGGUGGAUUCGCUAGUAAUCGCGCAUCAGCCAUGGCGCGGUGAAUACGUUCCCGGGCCUUGUACACACCGCCCGUCAAG